UACGAUGCAGACAAGUGUUAGUCAUCUUUAUUAGGUGUAAAGGGUACCUAGACAGUAAAUAAUAGCCUUGUAUAUAUAGUAAGGGAACUUUUUUACUUGAGUUUUAUAGGAGAGGAAUAUAUUAGAACUAUAGGAAUAAGGAUAAAAUUUUUUGAUACUUAUAGGACUGGGAGAGGCGAGGGCAACCCUCUAUCUUAAAACUGACGUUGAGGGACGAAGGUCUGGGUAGCGAAUAGG
rnacentral:rRNA from 1 species